rnacentral:snRNA from 1 species
AUACUUACCUGUACAGGAGCCACGUAGACAAAAGCGUUCCCCCAGGCGAGCCUUUCCAUUGCAUACUCGGUUUACGUGCUGAAGCCCUCGAUUCGCCCCAAUGUGGGCAACUCGUACCAUAUUAUUUAGUGUGGACUGCGUUCGCCUAUCCUCC